AAAUCAGGUAGGACUACCCGCUGAA
rnacentral:rRNA from 1 species